ACUCCGGUAUGUUAAUGGUUAGUGCUCUAGUCUGGUAGACCGGAGGUUGUGGGUUUGAUUCCCACCCGAGGUA
rfam:Lucilia cuprina strain LS Scaffold164, whole genome shotgun sequence.